UACGUAGGGGGCAAGCGUUGUCCGGAAUCAUUGGGCGUAAAGAGCGUGUAGGCGGUCCGAUAAGUCGGUUGUGAAAGUCCAGGGCUCAACCCUGGGAUGCCGACCGAUACUGUCGGACUAGAGUUCGGAAGAGGCGAGUGGAAUUCCCGGUGUAGCGGUGAAAUGCGCAGAUAUCAGGAGGAACACCCGUGGCGAAAGCGGCUCUCUGGGACGGUACUGACGCUGAGACGCGAAAGCGUGGGGAGCAAACAGG
rnacentral:rRNA from 1 species